CUACCUCACCUGUCCCCCUCAUCAGAUGUCAACUAGACUACUAGGCUUUCCACCGCAUAGAAAGAAAUCAUUGAGUUUCAGCUCUUUCUCCAAACAUCUCCUCCCUUUCCCUUUCCCAGACCCAGACAGGGGCACACACACAGACCGGCGACCGACCACGCUAUCUAGCCAACCAUUAAGUGUGUGUGUGAGGAAGUGUGUGUGUUUUUUUUUCUUUGAGUAGAAAGAAUGAAGUAAGGAAAAGAAGUUAGUGGGUAUUUGCACUCUGUGCCCGUGUUUGGUAACCCAGGAUCCCUUUAAAAUAAUUUCACUUGACGGUGAAACCUGGAAGUGGAAAGUUUAUAACUGUGAAAAGUCACAGGACUUGGGUUGCCAUGGGGUGUUGGUGGUGCUGGCUACUGGUAACCUUGCUAUGGGUUUCCACGAUAACAAACCCAUGCCUUGGCCAGAGUGGUGACAGUAGCGACUGGGGCUCGGGCUUCGAUGUCUCCAUGACGACCCUCAGCAGCAACAAGAACACGUCCUCCUCCCAGGAGCCAGGAGAUUACCCUGCGGGUUCAGAAACAGAGACAAGAGAAUCCUGGGUAAAAAUACUUCCACCUAAGCCAGUGUUCCACUACAAGCCGGAGCCAGAUGAGUGCUCUGUCCACUUCAGCACCAGUCAGGCUUCCGCCAGGCGCCUCAAGGCCCAGAGAGAAGAGUUGGCCUACCUGAAGGCUAUACAGCAUGGGAACCAGGCGGUGGUGGAGAACCUAGUCCAGUACAUAGGAGCAGAGCUGGGGGAUGAGCAGCGCUACGAGGACGUCAUCGAGGAAAACAUAGUGGGCAUCAGGGAGGAGCAGCAGAGCUGUAACGGUGUGGUCCAGAAGGUGAUGGAGGAUCUGGAGGGACAGCUGGAAGGAGAUGUACUGGAGGCUCUGACUGGGAUACGGAAGUAAGUACAUGGAUGAAACCAGUUAGUUAAUACAUCUCAAUCUGUCACAGUCUAUUAUUAUAAUAAAUCCAUUAAUGUAAUGCGUGUCUGAGACUUAAACACCCAAAAGAGCAAACAUAGAGCAAGGAAAAACCUCGACACAGCCAUCCUCCUCUGGUCUGCCACUGAGAGGACCAUGCCAUAGACUGGACAGGCAGCCAGAGAGGAACAGAGACAUUCACAUACUGUAUUAGUGUGAUCUAAUCUACUGAGAGACAGGAUCUCCUCCCGGCUCAUUGAUUAGUUUAUACAGAGCUCUAUUAACAGUCACCUUAGCAACCACUGUUUUCCCCCGGUCCAUUAACGGGCACCUUAUUAACUCAGACUCUCUGUUCUUCCCAGACAUUCACAACCCUACUGUGUCCUCAUCAGAACCAAGAUGUGGCCUGGGUCUGAGUGAUGUAUUUACCUUAAUAACCAUCAUCAAGGCCUCUCUGCGGUUUAAUUACUGUAAUAAAUACUCUCAUCAGAACCCAUUGUCUUACGUCAUACAGCAAUCAAAGAGGAGUCCCUAACGUUUGAGGGCCUCUUCCAGGCAGCAGCAGACAUCGCCAAGGGGCUGGAUACCUUGUCUCAGACCCUCCACGCCUCCUUCACCAAACAGCUCAAAGACUCUCUCAAAACUUUACAUCGCUAAAGAGACUUACUAUCCUCCAUCGCUAAGGAGAUUGUCUGGUCUCAGAUCUGUUUGUGCGGUCUCUCCAGUUCCUAUGGUCCUUGCUAUCACUCUUUUGUAGCCUGGUCUCAGAUCUGUUUGUGCUGUCUCUCCAGUUCCUAUGGUCUUUGCUGUGACUAUUUUGUAGCCUGGUCUCAGAUCUGUUUGUGCAAGAGAGCACAAACAGCUAUUGGACCAGGCAACUAAGGCCUAGAUUAAAUUAGAUCAAGUGUAAAGCGGCAAUAGCCGACACCCACAUAGCUGAUGUUUUGGCGGUGUCGGAGGUGUAACUACUCAUAAAUCGGUGAGCAGCAGCUCAUGUGAUCAUUGUCAUGAAGUUCAGAACAAUAAAGUAUAGGCUAUAUAGAAAUAAUUACACUGAAACUAAAAAAAUCAUUCAAUUAUGUCAUGAAGAUUUAUAUUAGACUAACCGAGGUGUAGAUUAGAUCUCAAACUCCAAUGUUCGAAAUUUCCCUUAAUGUGACUCUGUGCAGCCAAUUGCAAUGUCCACUUUAGGUAUAAAUCUGGGAGCCGCUUGUGGAUUUGACAGUUCUAAUGCAUUCCACCUCUGCCGCCGCCAAAACAACCGCUAUGAGGAUGUCUGCUAGCGCAGAUCUGAUAGAAUCUAUCCCUAAGAAGAACUCUCUCCUCUUCUUCUCUCCAUCCUACUCUACUUCCCUCCCUCCUACUCUUCUUCUGCCCCUCCUACUAUUCUUCUCUCCCUCCUACUUCCCUCCUACUCUUCUUCAAUCCCUCCUACUCUUCUUCACUCCCUCCUACUCUUCUUCUCCCCCUCCUACUCCUCUUCUCUCCCUCCUACUCUUCAUUCCUCUUACACUUCUUCUCUCCCUCCUACUUUUCUUCCCUCCCUUCUACUCUUCUUCUCCCCCUCCUACUCUUCUUCUCUCCCUCCUACUUCCCUCCUACUCUUCUUCUCUCCCUACUACUCUUCUUCUCGCCCUCCUACCCUUCUUCCCCCUCCUACUUCCCUCCUACUCUUCUUCUCUCCCUACUACUCAUCUUCUCACCCUCCUACUCUUCUUCCCUCCUACACUUCUUCCCUCCCUCCUACUCUUCUUCCCUUCUACUCUUCUUCUCUCCCUCCUACUCUUCUUCGCUCCCUUCUACUCUUCUUCUCCCCUCCUACUCUUCUCUCCCUCCUACUUCCCUCCUAAUCUUCUUCUCUCCCUCCUACUUUUCUUCCCCCCUCCUACUUCUCUCCUACUCAUCUUCCCUCCCUCCUACUCUUCUUCCCUCCCUCCUACUCUUCUUCUCUCCCUCCUACUCUUCUUCCCUCCCUCCUACUCUUCUUCUCUCCCUCCUACUCUUCUUCUCUCCCUCCUUCUCUUCUUCUCUCCCUACUACUCUUCUUCCCUCCCUCCUACUCUUCUUCUCUCCCUCCUACUCUUCUUCCCUCCCUCCAACUAUUCUUCCCUCCCUCCUUCGCUUCUCCUUCCCUCCUUCAGGCUACUACAACCUUCAACAUCUGUGUCUCUUGUCAAAACCUAAAUCUCUCUGGUCUGAACCUAGAGAUGUGUAGUGCUCUACUAAACAGAUGCUCUGACAGGAAUGUUCUUUCUGCUCAGUGUACUUUAAGUGAACCGUGAGAGGGCUGACAGAGCUAUGGAAUAAUUGGUAGAGGAUUUAUGCUGAGAUUUUGGACCACAGAUUUGUAAUGAACAGUCACUGUACUGUACUGUACCGUAGCUGUUUAAUACAGUAGCACUCACGUGUGACCAAAUGCUAUCAUAGACAAAACGCCAAGUCAGUACUUUUUCUGUUUACAAUUAUUCCAAAAAACAUUAAGUUGUUCAUACUGAGCAGUUCAGCAUAUAAUUAUAUCAUAGUAUGUAAUGUAUUUCAAACCAGAUUUUCCAUCCAGUAAAUUGCUAUUAUUACUGGAAUUUUAUGCCAGUUGGAAGUUUUGAAACAAAAUAUAUUUGUUUACGUCCCAAACUGCACUUUAUUCCCUGCAUGGUGCACUACUGUUGACCAAAGCCCUAUGGGCCCUGUUCAGAAGGGCACUAUAUCAGGAAAAGGGUGGGAUUUGUGACACAAACUCUAUUUCAGUCAUAGUAGUACGGGCAGCUCUGGUUAGCCUUAGUAUUAUGGUACAUCUGUAUUGGUCUCUCUAGGUACCAGGGUAGUAUGGUCUGUCUGUAUUGGUCUCUCUAGGUACCAGGGUAGUAUGGUCUGUCUGUAUUGGUCUCUCUAGGUACCAGGGUAGUAUGGUCUGUCUGUAUUGGUCUGUCUAGGUACCAGGGUAGUAUGGUCUGUCUGUAUUGGUCUCUCUAGGUACCAGGGUAGUAUGGUCUGUCUGUAUUGGUCUCUCUAGGUACCAGGGUAGUAUGGUCUGUCUGUAUUGGUCUGUCUAGGUACCAGGGUAGUAUGGUCUGUCUGUAUUGGUCUGUCUAGGUACCAGGGUAGUAUGGUCUGUCUGUAUUGGUCUCUCUAGGUACCAGGGUAGUAUGGUCUGUCUGUAUUGGUCUGUCUAGGUACCAGGGUAAGGGUGGAGACCAGGAUAAGUUCAGGGCAGACGCUUGAAGGGAGGUUCUCCUCUCUUGUUCUAUGAAAGCAGAAGCCUGGAAUACACCCUGAUCUGUUGUUUUAUCAGUGAAAAUACACAAGUGUAAUUAGAGUGAUAUUCAGCUCAAAUAUCAGCUCAAAUUCCAGGUUUGAAAACCAAAGUGUUCAUUUGCAAAUAAAGGGAAUUGUGUACAAGUGCAAUGGGACUUUAUCUAGCUGGGUUAUAUUUGAAAGGGUAUGUUAUGCUGUGAGGAAAAUAUGUUUUUCAGAGACAUUUAUAUUGUAUGCAGUGAGUUGGUGAGGAAAGGGGCAGCCAGGCGUGGGGUGAUUGUGACUUUGACCCCCAUUCCUUGUCAGAGUUCAAACGACAACCCAAUGCUGUUGAAUGGGUUGGAAACAUAGGCUACAUCCUAAAUGGCAGCCUAGUCCCUAUAUAGUGCACUACUUUAGAGCAGAGCCCUAUGGCAUCCUAUUCCUUAUAUAUAGUGCACUACUUUAGACAGAGCCCUUUGGCACCCUAUUCCCUAUAUAGUGCACUACUUUAGACCAGCGCUCUAUGGCACCCUAUUCCCUAUAUAGUGCACUACUUUAGACCAGAGCCCUAUAGCACCCUAUUCCCUAUAUAGUGCACUACUUUGGACCAGGACCCAAGUAUAGAGUGUCAUUUGGUAUGCAACUACACACAGCCCUAAUCUGAAGUAUACAAAACCAAUUAGGCUUUAUAUAGAUGGGUUCCACUGGGAUAAUGUUGUGUAUGGUUACAGCGGGUAAUGUUGUGUAUGGUUACAAGGGGUAAUGUUGUGUAUGGUUACAGGGGGUAAUGCUGUGUAUGGUUACAGUGGGUAAUGUUGUGUAUGGUUACAGGGGGUAAUGUUGUGUAUGGUUACAAGGGGUAAUGUUGUAUGGUUACAGGGGGUAAUGUCGUGUAUUGUUACAGGGGGUAAUGCUGUGUAUGGUUACAGUGGGUAAUGUAGUGUAUGGUUACAGGGGGUAAUGUUGUGUAUGGUUACAAGGGGUAAUGUUGUAUGGUUACAGGGGGUAAUGUCGUGUAUUGUUACAGGGGGUAAUGCUGUGUAUGGUCACAGCGGGUAAUGUAGUGUAUGGUUACAGGGAGUAAUGUUGUGUAUGAUUACAAGGGGUAAUGUUGUGUAUGGUUACAGGGAGUAAUGCUGUGUAUGGUCACAGCGGGUAAUGUAGUGUAUGGUUACAGCGGGUAAUGUAGUGUAAGGUUAUCAGGGAUACUGUUGUGUAUGGUUAAAGGGGGUAAGGACGUGUAUGGUUACAGGGAGUAAUGUUGUAUGGCUACAGGGGGUAAUGUUGUAUGGUUACAGUGGGUAAUGUUGUAUGGUUACAGGGGGUAAUGUUGUAUGGUUACAAGGGGUAAUGUUGUAAAGGAAACAUAGUACUACCAUGAGUUGGUGGGGAGGCCAUGGUGGUUAUUGCGUGAGUUACUUUGACCCCCGUCCCUUUAAGAGAUCAAACAACGACAUGAGAUAAUUCAUCUCCUAGUCCAAUUCAGUGGGAGUUCCAACUUUACUCUAUAUCAGUUUCUGUUCUGUCCCUAGUUCUCUUUCUGUCGUAGAAAGACGUACUUGUUGUUGCAGUCUUUUAUGGGCGAUGCCACCACCCUUUCUUUUUUAGGACCGUAUGUUUUUAAUGUUGUAAUUAUGAAACGAUAAAGACAAAACAUGUUAUGUCAAAAUGUAGUAUACUUAUAAAAAAAUGUUUAACUAAAAUGUAAUCUAUGUAAUCCCCAAAGGGCCAUAAAUAUUAACUAGUGAUGCUACAUAUUCACAGAAAGGUUCAAAUCUCACCUUUCUGGUAAAAAAAUAGUUGUAAAUUGCUGAGGUGUAGUCACUUUAAGACACAAGCUCAAGUAUACAGUACAAAUAUGAUACAUAUUUUAUAUUACGUAAUUCCUUUUCAACAAAACUGUAUGAAUAAGUCUUGAAAUGACUUAUAUGCUUUCUAAAUAUAUUAUAAUCAAAUUAUAAAACCUCUAAGUAUAAGAUAGUACCUUCCUUAUAACUGUAAAAUACAUAUUUGUAUGUUUAGUGUUAGAGAAAAUGUGCACAUUUUCUAAAAGUAUUUUCUUUUGUUUAAAACAAGCUCUAGCUUGGCCUUCCUGAACUCGUUAGUAACUCGCCUUUCAUCUCACAUUCAUAUGACAAAUCUGUGAAAAAACAACGUUGUUUUUUUUGUUGUUUAAAAUCUAUGAAUUAUUUUAGAUGAAUGGCUGUAAAUCAAUCUCUGAUGAAACCACUCUCUACUGCUGUGCUACGAUGUCAGGAUUUCAGUCAUGUGUUUUGUCAGUUGCUGUGACGUAAGGUUCAGCCAGGAGGUGAUGGACAGUCGGAAGAGUGAAUGAAGGACAUCCCAGUGUCAAGUGGUUUCAGAUUUCACAUCCUACAUUGCACAGGCUCAGAAAAUAUACUACUGUGUCCGUGGGAACAAGGACUGUCGUUCACAGCAAGCCAUUUCCAUAUACGUUGUCUACAUAUCGAUUUAUAAGUGAAAAUGUUGG
rnacentral:lncRNA from 1 species